rnacentral:sRNA from 1 species
UUCAAAUUUUAGGUUAUAUUUUAUACUCUCAAAUUUUUGUGUUUAUACAUAUCAAGUAAAGUACAUUUUGGGUUUUGUCUCUGGACGUACCGAAAGAGAGUUUGAAAGAGGCAAAAAAGAAAAGAAAGAAUAGAAAUUGGAUGACCUGGGUGAAGGCUUGUGGGUCGUGAGGGAAGACAUUGACGAUGGAGAAGUUGGCAUAGGAAAUUCGGUGUUCCAACGCCCAGCAACUGUUCGACGAAAGGACUGAUAAGAGAAGGAUGAGGGAGAGAAGGAGAGAAGCAGCCAUGGAAGGUGAGAGUGUUGGUGAAAGGGUGAAAGAGGAACGCAUUUAAGGAGUUACGUGAUAGCUGCUAAUCCUAUUAUACACCUCACAAGUGUAAAAUGUCGGUGUUUCUUCAAAACAAUACUUACACGUUGGAGGGUGUUUUUGGAAAGAAACAAUAUUCAGAAACCCUUUUUGGCGGAUUGAGUCUUCUUCUUUCGAAGUUUAGCACAUUUGCAAACUCGAUUUCCGUUCUCUGCCACUCUUUCGAUUCUCCAGUGUGAGUCUUCUUUCAAAGUUUUUCACUUUUGCGAAGUCGGUCUCCGCUCUCUUGAGAAUCUUCG